GUAAUCGCUCAGCCUGGUUUCCCCGAAUCUAAAAGGCAAAUAACGACUGUCAUUAUCGUCAAAGAAAUGCCAGCCUACUUCUUAUAGCUCUCCCCCUCUCUCUCUCUCUCUCUCUCUCUCUCUCUCUCUCCCUCCCUCCCUCCCUCCCUCCCUCUCUCACACACACUCACUCUUCCCCCCCACCUCCCCACUUUCUACCGUGCAGCCGAGGCGCUUCUCGUCUCCAAAGCCUGUCUCCAGAAGCAUGUCCUCAGACAUGCAGCCAAGGUGCGAUGAAGCGGACCAAAAGAAGCCACCAGCAUGACAGCAUGAAAGCAGGUUCCAUCUGAGUAGGAGGUG
rnacentral:lncRNA from 15 species